CGUCUAUUGAUAACGAAACGAUAAUUUGUCAACAAUGAGAAUCAGAUACUUGGCUUAAUAAUUUUCAUUUAAAAUGUCUAAUUUGGAUAUAAUUCGGAAUACAAAACGAAACUUAAAAGGUAUUGAAAACAACAACGUUCAAAAGAACAAUGUGGAUUUCAAUAGAAAGACUAUUUCCACCGACAAUCAGGAUUUCCGGUAUGCCCACUGUUAUUUUGACGAUUUUUCUAUCGGUUCGUCGGUAAGCGUGACCACAUGUGACAACAGCGAUGCUAGUUGGAUAUAAAAUUGGUAGACGUGUCGUUGAACUCGACACAUUGACCGAAUCGCUUUUAGCAUGCAGUGCUUGUCAAGUGCCCAUGAAUUUACUUAACACUGUAGAAAGCAGGGAUUUCGGACAGGCAUGUGUUUUGGACAUACAGUUUAGCAAUUGUGGUGCAGUAAAUAAUGUGGCUACUGGACGGAAACAUGGCAGAGUUUAUGACAUGAUCACAAAGCUUGCAUUUGGGUAAAUCAAAAACUGGGUGUUUCACCUGGGACUUUCACAUCGAAACUGGCCCUUCUCCAUGACCUUCAGCACAAAAAAGAAAGGCUAUAACUGUUACUCGUGCAGCAAAACAGUGACGCAUAAGACUUAAAACUCGAACGGCAUUCAAAGGACAGUGCAAGAAGUACAAGCGGGACCAACAUACAGUUCAAACAUAGAGGACCAAGACGUUGAAGUUACAACUAUACCCCCACCUAUACCCAAGCCUGGUCCAGCAGGGCUAGACACUACUGGGAAGGAAUUUGUUUUCUUUGAUUUGGAAACAAGAGGGUUAGAGCACACUUCUCACAUAAUUCAGAUAGCUGCAGUGCAUUCAACUGGUCAGAAGAUAUCCUUGCAAGCGUCAGAAAUAACUGGAGUGACAGUUGUUAGCGACUCUAUGCUUGUCAAGAGACAAACAGUAACAGCUGUCCCCAUCAAAUCUGCAUUGACAAGUUUUAUAACAUUCUUACAGAAAUGUUCACCAAUUAUUUUAGUUGGGCAUAAUAUAGAGUCUUUUGAUUGUAA